AUUGGGCACCAUUUCAGGAACCAACCCCCCCAACAAUUUAGGUGUCUUAUGGGCCACCAUUUUAGACAUUAUGAGCUAUAAUGAUGGCAAAGCACCAAAAGCACGUUAGCAUUCUCAUAACAUACCAUUAAGCGACACAAAAAUCAAAGUAACCUCUAAGAUUAGAUCACAAAGAAAUUCUUAUGUUCAUGAAUUGCAUGCCAUCAAUUGACCAGAAAAG
rnacentral:misc_RNA from 1 species